AUUUAAACAAAACCUAGGGAUAUUUUUUUAGCUAUUUUUUCUUUUCCUGCUGACUUGCAGUGGUGGAAGGAAUGUUGAAAUAUUUGACUUGAGUAAAACUGUAGAAGAUUAGCAACAAUAUCUACUUAAAAGGCACUCGCAGCUGCUAAUGCCUUUGUUCAGUGGUGUGGUUGACUAGUGACAAAUUGACUGAUUUGUAUGAUGGAGACACUGAGAUGGAGAAGUUGCCGAUGAGACGCUGGAAGCUGGCAGGAAUGAUUUACAGCCUCAAAAGCAUGGCGG